rnacentral:rRNA from 2 species
AGCGGCAGACGGGUGAGUAACGCGUGGGAAUCUACCUUGAGCUACGGGAUAACAGAGAGAAAUUUCUGCUAAUACCGUAUGUGGCCUUUGGGCGAAAGAUUUAUCGGCUUAAGAUGAGCCCGCGUUGGAUUAGCUGGUUGGUGGGGUAAAGGCCUACCAAGGCGACGAUCCAUAGCUGGUCUGAGAGGAUGAUCAGCCACACUGGGACUGAGACAUGGCCCAGACUCCUACGGGAGGCAGCAGUGGGGAAUAUUGGACAAUGGGCGCAAGCCUGAUCCAGCCAUGCCGCGUGAGUGAAGAAGGCCUUAGGGUUGUAAAGCUCUUUCACCGGUGAAGAUAAUGACGGUAGCCGGAGAAGAAGCCCCGGCUAACUUCGUGCCAGCAGCCGCGGUAAUACGAAGGGGGCUAGCGUUGUUCGGAUUUACUGGGCGUAAAGCGCGCGUAGGCGGAUAGAUAAGUCAGAGGUGAAAUCCCGGGGCUCAACCCCGGAAUUGCCUUUGAUACUGUUUAUCUUGAGUGCAGAAGAGGUAAGUGGAAUUCCGAGUGUAGAGGUGAAAUUCGUAGAUAUUCGGAGGAACACCAGUGGCGAAGGCGGCUUACUGGUCUGCAACUGACGCUGAGGCGCGAAAGCGUGGGGAGCAAACAGGAUUAGAUACCCUGGUAGUCCACGCUGUAAACGAUGGAAGCCAGCCGUCGGCAAAUUUAUUUGUCGGUGGCGCAGCUAACGCAUUAAGCUUCCCGCCUGGGGAGUACGGUCGCAAGAUUAAAACUCAAAGGAAUUGACGGGGGNCCGCACAAGCGGUGGANCAUGUGGUUUAAUU